rnacentral:lncRNA from 1 species
UUUCCUUCUAACUUGAGAUGGUUAUUAUCCACAAUCACUUCCAUGAGGUGGUAAUAAGAAGACUUGACAGAGUACAUGCAAUUCUUACUUAAUCUCGUAUGUCAUCUUGUUCCCAAGAAAUUUAAUGGUAGCUUAACAAUUUCCAUGGCAUCUCUUUAAUUGAAUAGUUGUUGUAGCAUGUCGUUUCCAUGUAUUGUUGUUACUAUUAAUUAAUAAGCUCAGCCACCGUCAUCUCUUCCAUACCCUCAAUAAUUUCUGUUG